CUCUGGGACAAGCCCUGGAAACGGGGUCUAAUACCGGAUAUGAUCACCGGCCGCAUGGCCUGGUGGUGGAAAGCUCCGGCGGUGCAGGAUGAGCCCGCGGCCUAUCAGCUUGUUGGUGGGGUGAUGGCCUACCAAGGCGACGACGGGUAGCCGGCCUGAGAGGGCGACCGGCCACACUGGGACUGAGACACGGCCCAGACUCCUACGGGAGGCAGCAGUGGGGAAUAUUGCACAAUGGGCGAAAGCCUGAUGCAGCGACGCCGCGUGAGGGAUGACGGCCUUCGGGUUGUAAACCUCUUUCAGCAGGGAAGAAGCGAAAGUGACGGUACCUGCAGAAGAAGCGCCGGCUAACUACGUGCCAGCAGCCGCGGUAAUACGUAGGGCGCGAGCGUUGUCCGGAAUUAUUGGGCGUAAAGAGCUCGUAGGCGGCUUGUCACGUCGGAUGUGAAAGCCCGGGGCUUAACCCCGGGUCUGCAUUCGAUACGGGCAGGCUAGAGUUCGGUAGGGGAGAUCGGAAUUCCUGGUGUAGCGGUGAAAUGCGCAGAUAUCAGGAGGAACACCGGUGGCGAAGGCGGAUCUCUGGGCCGAUACUGACGCUGAGGAGCGAAAGCGUGGGGAGCGAACAGGAUUAGAUACCCUGGUAGUCCACGCCGUAAACGUUGGGAACUAGGUGUGGGCGACAUUCCACGUUGUCCGUGCCGCAGCUAACGCAUUAAGUUCCCC
rnacentral:rRNA from 1 species